AGGGAAAGAACCCGGACCAUCAGCUAAGGUCCCCAAAUAUAUGCUAAGUUGACCAAACGCGGUCUGACUGCACUGACAGCUAGGAUGUUGGCUUGGAAGCAGCCAUACAUUUAAAGAGUGCGUAACAGCUCACUAGUCGAGCGGUUGGGCAUGGAUAAUAAACGGGCAUAAGCAUAUUACCGAAGCUAUGGGGUUAUACAUUAGUAUAUACCGGUAGGGGAGCAUUCUAUAGGCGUAGAAGCUAAAGGCGUGAGCCAUAGUGGAGCUGAUAGAAAAGAAAAUGUAGGCAUAAGUAACGAUAAGGCAGGCGAGAAACCUGCCCGCCGAAAGAUCAAGGUUUCCUCAGCUAUGCUAAUCAGCUGAGGGUUAGUCGGGGACUAACGCGAACCCGAGUAGGGGUAGUGGAUGUACAACAGGUUAAUAUUCCUGUACCAUUAAUCUGAUAAAAGUGACGGAAUGAGAUAGCUACCGCGUACUGACGGAAUAGUACGUUUAAGGAGUUGUUAUGACUUCAAAAGUACACCGAGGCUUCGGCUGAAGUGAGAGUGGCGACAACGUUUCCAAGAAAAGCGAAGAUUAAUGCCCGUACCGUAAACCGACACAGGUGAUUGGGAUGAGAAUUCUAAGGCGCUCGAGAGAUUCAUGGCUAAGGAACUAGGCAAAAUAGACCUGUAACUUCGGGAGAAAGGUCGCCUAUCAUUAGAUAGGCCGCAGUGAAAAGGUCCAAGCGACUGUUUAUCAAAAACACAGGACUCUGCAAAAUCGAAAGAUGAGGUAUAGGGUCUGACACCUGCCCGGUGCUGGAAGGUUAAGAGGAGAGCUUAGCGUAAGCGAAGGUUUGAAUUGAAGCCCCAGUAAACGGCGGCCGUAACUAUAACGGUCCUAAGGUAGCGAAAUUCCUUGUCGGGUAAGUUCCGACCUGCACGAAUGGUGUAACGAUUUGGACACUGUCUCGGCCAUGAGCUCGGUGAAAUUGUAGUAUCGGUGAAGAUGCCGAUUACCCGCAGUGGGACGAAAAGACCCUGUGCACCUUUACUAUAUCUUCGUAUUGGUCUUGGAUAAGUGAUGCGUAGGAUAGGUGGGAGACUGUGAAGCAGCUAUUCCGGUAGUUGUGGAGUCAUUGUUGAAAUACCACCCUUUGCUUAUCUGAGGUCUAACUUUGCACAAGGCAAAGGACAAUUCGUGGAGGGUAGUUUGACUGGGGUGGUCGCCUCCAAAAGCGUAACGGAGGCUUCUAAAGGUACCCUCAGACCGAUUGGUAACCGGUCGUAGAGUGUAAUGGCACAAGGGUGCUUGACUGGGAGACUAACAAGUCGCACAGGUAGGAAACUAGAGCAUAGUGAUCCGGUGGUUCCGUAUGGAAGGGCCAUCGCUCAAAGGAUAAAAGGUACUCCGGGGAUAACAGGCUGAUC
rnacentral:rRNA from 1 species